UAAAAACUACAGCGUUAUUUUACAGAAGCUGACUGUAUUUUAAAUAAUACAGAAUAUUGCUGUAAAGUGCAAUGCAUUCUGGGGUCACGUGACGGAUUAACUCAAUGUACAGAAUAUUGCUGUAAAUUUCAAAUCUACAAUGGCGGGAUGAUUUUCAACAGUCGAGAUUGGGGUAGUGCGCAAAAUGAAUGAUUCACACCUGUGGUAACUUAUCACGUAUUUUUUUUCCAUAUUUGGUAACUAUCAUACUGGUAACUUUAUAUAGAGGUAUCUAAAUUCGCGGUUCAUAUUGCUAACCCCGGAUUCAACCUCCAUCCGCGGGGACCGAAGGAGUCUUGCGGGGUUUCAGCAGCGCCGUCGCGGACACACUUUGCUAUGCAGGCCACUGGAUACUGACUACUGAAGGUUAGGUUGUGUGUGACGGUGCUCAGCACAGCUUCAUGUCUGGCCUUCCCACUCUGUUCAUAGCAUGUUACAUAUUCAAUCUUGAGUACCAGGAUGGGGCAGCAUGUACUUGGAGUCCAAUGAAAGUUUUUCCUGACUCUUUGUGGAUAUUAAUCCAGAGAGUGGAACAAGAAGCGUCAUCUAAAAUGCCAGGAUACAGAAGAAACAGGUUGCAGUGAACCCACAUGUCGCCGCUCUUCUAAACACAAUGAUGAAUAUUCAGUGUAAUCGAUGAAAAUUCCAGCUACUUGUUGUGCUCUGAUGGAUCAAGAUGUGGACCGUUUUACAGACUCACUUGGGCCUUGUUUUGCAAUGUUGUUUCAUGAUGGUAAUGUUGGUUAACGUGUUGUUUAAACAUGAAUGUUUAAAGAGCCAUGUUGUAUACUAUGAAGUUCUUACUGAAUAAAAUUAUUUCAUGUACAACAACGUACACAAUUUGUCUGUAAUGUAUUUUUGUAUCAAUUAAAAAAAAAUAAACACUGUAUAUCCAGUAUGCAAAACAUACUGGAUAUACAGUGAUUUAUGUAUUUCUUCUAAAUAAAGUAAAUUAAAAUCAAGCAAUUUGCUGUAAAAAAUACAGCAUUAUACUGUUGCUAUUCAAAAUUACAGUUUUUCCUGUAUUCUGCAAUUACAGUAAAUGGCUGUAAAUUAAAUUACAGUACUGUGGCUGUACAAUUUACAGUAACUGGCUGGCAACCCUGCUGCCAGUAGUUUACUGUAAAUUUUACAGGA